GGGACAAGCCCUGGAAACGGGGUCUAAUACCGGAUAACACUCUGUCCCGCAUGGGACGGGGUUGAAAGCUCCGGCGGUGAAGGAUGAGCCCGCGGCCUAUCAGCUUGUUGGUGGGGUAAUGGCCCACCAAGGCGACGACGGGUAGCCGGCCUGAGAGGGCGACCGGCCACACUGGGACUGAGACACGGCCCAGACUCCUACGGGAGGCAGCAGUGGGGAAUAUUGCACAAUGGGCGAAAGCCUGAUGCAGCGACGCCGCGUGAGGGAUGACGGCCUUCGGGUUGUAAACCUCUUUCAGCAGGGAAGAAGCGCAAGUGACGGUACCUGCAGAAGAAGCGCCGGCUAACUACGUGCCAGCAGCCGCGGUAAUACGUAGGGCGCAAGCGUUGUCCGGAAUUAUUGGGCGUAAAGAGCUCGUAGGCGGCUUGUCACGUCGGAUGUGAAAGCCCGGAGCUUAACUCCGGGUCUGCAUUCGAUACGGGCUAGCUAGAGUGUGGUAGGGGAGAUCGGAAUUCCUGGUGUAGCGGUGAAAUGCGCAGAUAUCAGGAGGAACACCGGUGGCGAAGGCGGAUCUCUGGGCCAUUACUGACGCUGAGG
rnacentral:rRNA from 1 species